AAAAUCCUCCUUCUGAUUUUCAGAUUUAAAUCACAGUCUUUCAGACAAUAUGAAAAUCAUAGUUCAGAUUUAUAUAAUUAUUAUUUUUAUGCGUAGAUGGAAAAAUAGGGAUGCAAUACGAGGAUGGUACCUAAUACUGAUUAAAAAACUGCUCUGGAUCCUGAUACUAUAUCUGGCUGCUAUUAGCACAAAGCAUAUAUUUUUUCCGUAAAGCGAAACGAAUUUAUUAAGGCUGAUAUUCUGAUUAUAAUUUUUUAUCUCUUUGUUUCCUGUUAUCUUUUGUGGGGGUCCUUGUCUGGUCAUCUGCAUGUGACUGCGUUCUACUUGUGCUUGAUGCUGUGUUGGCUCAAUAGUCUAUCCGGGGGCUUAUGAGAAAGAGGAGGCAGCUACUCGUGCGUAUGACCUUGCAGCUCUCAAAUAUUGGGGGCCUGAAACCACACUGAAUUUCACGGUACGUUUUGCUGCUCUUGGAAA